rnacentral:rRNA from 1 species
GAUGAACGCUGGCGGCGUGCCUAAUACAUGCAAGUCGAGCGAACAGACGAGGAGCUUGCUCCUCUGACGUUAGCGGCGGACGGGUGAGUAACACGUGGAUAACCUACCUAUAAGACUGGGAUAACUUCGGGAAACCGGAGCUAAUACCGGAUAAUAUAUUGAACCGCAUGGUUCAAUAGUGAAAGACGGUUUUGCUGUCACUUAUAGAUGGAUCCGCGCCGCAUUAGCUAGUUGGUAAGGUAACGGCUUACCAAGGCGACGAUGCGUAGCCGACCUGAGAGGGUGAUCGGGCACACUGGAACUGAGACACGGUCCAGGCUCCUACGGGAAGCAGGAGGAGGGAAUCUUCCGCAAUGGGCGAAAGCCUGACGGAAGAACGCCGCGGGGGUGAUGAAGGUCUUCGGAGCGUAAAACUCUGUUAGUAGGGAAGAACAAGUGUGUAAGUAACUAUGCACGUCUUGACGGUACCUAAUCAGAAAGCCACGGCUAACUACGUG